CUACGACAAAAAGAUCUGAAAUACAUCAACUUCGCCAUUUUGUCAUUAUUGUUUUCACUAUUGUGUUUGCACCCCCUGCAAAUUUACCUAUAGGGAAUUCUAUUGUGUUUGCACCCCUUGCACUAUAUUGUGUUUUAUUACGGCGUCGAAAACCUUGAAUCCACGUAUUGAUUUGGUCUCCUGGCUUUGCCUGGCGGGGCCCAAAGGAGUUACGCCGCUGGGGAUUUCGCAUAAAUGCAUUAAUAAUACAACAGGUUUUAGCAGUUGUGAUUCCCGACCCCAUUUUUGAUCUCAGCUGACGAAUGAAAUUUGUGCCCACUAUUUAAUCCGAACAGUUAUAGUAUCACAACAAUUUUUAUUUUUUUAUUUAUAUUCAAACCUUUUCGCGAAUUAUGGAACGGUAGCUGUUUCGGUGAGUAUAUAUAAAACUUAUUCGAUUCGUUAUAGCUGUUAACGGAUAAACAUUAAUUGUUAUUAUACGGACCAGUCAUCACUGUUUUCUUCCACCAAUACGUCGUCUUCAGAGACAUUUAAAUGGCUCGCAAUAUGUCCUUGAGUGAAUAUGUCCUGAUUUUCUCUGCUUGUUUCAGUUUCAAAGAACACAUCAUUCUGUAGUGUGAUAAGUUCUGAAACGUUCAAACUUUAAAAGACCAUCGUUAAACAGGGCAAGCCAGUUAUAAUUCUCAUACUUUUUGUUCCUUUCUUGCUGCGUUUUCUUUCCAGACUUAAACCUGGUCACAAAUACAGUACAUUUAAUAUUCAACAAUAAUUAUAAAAUGUAUUUUUUUCUGACAAAAUAUAUAGUCGAGACUUAAUAUUUUGCCAUAUAUUGGGUGAAGAUGAAUCCAAUAAGAGUUUUAUUAUAUCGAACAAAACUAUUCUGUAUAAAAAAAUUGACAAUAAACGAUAAGUAAUGCAGCGAGAAUAAUACAGCGACAACAUUACUAAUAACUUAAACAAAAAGUUAAUAAACUUGUUUUUACAAAUAUGUGUGCAUAAAUAAAGUCAAUUCCAUGUAUGGAAUUUAUUAACUCCAGGUAAUUUGAUGUAAUUGAACGAAAAAAUUAUAAUCUAUUUUUCCAGUCCGUAACCCCAGGUCCAUAAAGUAAAUGGAGCCUUCUGAUUGGUUGACGAAAGCUCUCACACGUUACGUACCUCUCGCGUUUCGCGCCAAAACAAGCGAGGAGUGAAGACAAUUUUCAUAUUGAAAAAAAUAUCUAAGAAAUUGUAAAACCCUCCCUAUCGCUACUACAGAUAGAAAAUAGGCUGAACUGAUUUCAAUGAUUUAAGCUAAGUGUCCAGCCCGCUUUUUCCCGACAUAAAUGCGAAAGUUAACAUUUAUAAGUAUUGAAAAUAAGUGCUAAAUGUUUAGUUUCAAAAGCUCAGCAUAUAUUUCGAAAAAAAUUAAAACAUUCCUUAAAACUGCAAUUGAAAUUAAACAUGCUUUCUAUAGACUUAUGUCAGUCAUACAUAUACUGUAUAUACAUAUAUUAUUCAGCUCACUCCCCAAUGGGUCUUUUCAGUGAUGGAUUACAUCAAUUACUACGUUUACUUGUAUUACCUACUUAACCUAGACUAAAAUAUCUUUACAACCAUUGUGAUGUUAGUUUCUUAACUGUGUUUAUCCUAACCCACCAUACCAAGAAACAAACAAAAAGCUUUCCCUGUGGGAGGAAACCGGAGCGCCCGGAGAAAACCCACGACUUUCGGAAGAGCGUUGGCUGACUCUUUUCACAUUUGUCAUAGCGAGAAUCCAACCCACUUUCUGAGAGGCGAAAGGCGCUUGCAUCUGACGACUGCGCCACCGAAGUAAUAUUUUUAUGUAUGCAGUGGACGGUUCACUUCUCCUGCGAACAGGCUCUUUGGUUAGGUUAAAGCCCGCGCAUCUACAAAAGUUUCCGAACUGUUUACGAUAAAUGGUUUUAGAAUUCAUCAUUAAGCAUUCUUAUGCCAUGUACGCUACAGCGUACCUAUUUUUUAUAUAUCUUGUUAUGAACAAAAUGUUUUCGGCAAGUUGUUAUUAACGUUGUCGUUGAAGUAUGUUAUUAAGCUAAAACGAUCAGGAAAAUAAAUAACAGUUUUAAUCAGUUUACCUUUUUAUUGUUUGUUGAGUAGAAAAGCAUCUAUUGUAUAAAAAUAAAGGCUUUUCAUGGUGCCGUUUUAGCAAUAUUUGUCGGAAACAAUAUUUUUUUAGCAUGCUUGGACUAACGUAAACUGAUCUCACAUCUAUGUUUGCAACAUGCACUGGAGUUUUUUUUUAUUUAUUUAAGCAUUGAGCUAAAACUUUAUUUGGCAAAUGAGUUUUCUAAUAUUUUUAUGCUGUUACUGGCAGUGAUAUUUUAAAUCGUUUUCACUGCUUUUUUGAGAAGCAAACGUUGUUUGUGUGGUAAAUCAUUAUUUGUCAAUCAUAUUAGUGCAUGUUGAUUGGUAAAAUUCAAUACUAUUUACGAUUAGUUUUUUCACGUCGUGAAAUCGUCCAAGACGACCGUCGCAAACCAGAAGCUGACGAUAGUUGGCGCCAAAUGACGACAUCCGCGUUGUGCUCGCGUCGUCUUUUCUAAAUCUAAUGAAAAUACAAUGUGUAAUAAAACAGUUACUGAAUUGGUUUUUUUGUGAUAUCCCAAAUUAUCAAGAUCUUGGGAAGUGUUAUCAAUCUCGCCUUCAGCUCGACUUCCAAUAACACUUAAGGUCCAUACAGACCGGACGCGAUUUGGCAACGCGACGCGAAUUUUCAAUUUUCAAUGACAUAAAACUUUAAUAUUUUUCAAUGUUUUUCAAAUAUUCGGAACCACUUAAGCAAUUUUAGCUAUUUGGUCUGCAUAUCUUGUAAAAUUUUUAUCCGUUGACGGUUUUAUUUGUUUUUGAAAACUGAAAAUUCGCGUCGUGUUACUAAAUCGCGGGCGGUCUGUGUGGGCCUUUACCUCGACCUUGGUGAUUCUUAUUACGUUUUCGCAGAUUUGUAAAACUCAUCUCCAUUAACUUGUUUAUUUUCAGACAAUCUCAGUAUCUGUCGAACUCGUCUUCACCAAUUACACCAAUGCGAAUUUCAUACCUGCAGUGACCCUCAGUGUGUCCCAGGGGACAAAAGCUUUUGAAAUACUCGAGAUGGCUUCCCAACAAAACCCGUGUUACAGAUUCCAAUUUCAAACAUUCAGUAUUGGUCGCUUCAUUACAAGUAUAUGCUGUCUCGAGCAAGAUCCAUCAGCUGACUUUUAUUGGCUCAUUUACAAGAAUGGUCAACUUUCCAAUGUUGGAGUUGAUGUGUUAACACCGACAAAUGGAGAUACCAUUACCUUCAAAUACCAAAACGUUUGAACAUAUUAAUUAAUUUUAAACUAACUACUCUGUUAUACACUGAAGGGCUUGAAUCCGGGUUUUUCCAUUAUUUUAGUUUAUUGUACGAUCAUCCAGAUUAAAUUUCUUUAAUUAUUUCUGACGUUUCGGCUACCUACACGGCGGCCAUUAUCAAAGACGUAUUACAGUUACAAAAAAUUUUACAGUACCAUUUAAUAGUUGUCUUAUUAAAUAAUUAAAUAAAUAACAGUAACCUCUCUGCAGGUCCGGUUUGACUAUAACAGAGUAGCGUAGCUACUAGCGCGUAGCGGGAGGUUGAUUUGUUAAUCACGAGUAUGAUUAUGGCAUUAAUAUAGCACGACUUAAUUCGUUCUAUUAUUUGAUAAUGGCCGCCGUGUAGGUAGCCGAAACGUCAGAAAUAAUUAAAGAAAUUUAAUCUGGAUGAGGCUUUAAGGCAAUUUUCCAUUGCAGUCGGUGCCCGCACGGGCGGAGCGAGCAUUAGAGAGGUUAAGAUACCCCUGUUCCAGUUUACGGGUACGGGUGAUAUAUACAGCUAUUUAAAUUAAGGUUGUGCACGAGCAAAGCGGAAAAGUCGAAUACGAGCGCGAAAGGCUGCUGGGAAUCGUUAACAAAUUAAUGAAUUUUCAAAGCGAUUCCCAGCAGCCUUUCGCGCUCGUAUUCGACUUUCCGCUUUGCUCGUGGACAACCUUAAUUGAAAUGUUUUAAUAAUUGUUUUAUACUUGCAUCUUUCAUCAUCAUCUGCUCUGUCCUCAUAAUUAUGAAAAAUGAACUGUUAUGUACCCCCCCCCCCUCCUUGCUUGUUAGAGAAGUAAACUGAUGAGAGCACUGGAUAAGGGUCUAUCAUCUAUGGUCUGUUAUAAUUUGCUUUCUAUGCAAAUAGUGAGCAAAAAUUAAAGCAAAACUGUACAAGUUACAUAUAUAGUACUAUAUCAGUACUAUACACGAACUUUUAUCGCUGGAUAAUUUUGCGAGUUUUCAUCCAAUUCAAUCAUAAAUAUGCUCAAAAUCUUCGCGGUAGAUAGAUAGAUAGAUAGAAAACUUCAUUUAACCACGCUAACCCCGUCAACCGAAGCUGAUUUCCACAGGGGGCGUGUAUAGAAGAAAUUACAGAAGUAUAAAAUUUAGAAUAAUUAUUUACAAAAUAAUAGAAAUAGUAUUAAAUAGGUAAAGUAUAGUACCGGUACUUAGUAAGUUAGUCUGCGGGGAUUACAAUUACUAUUAAUGUGAGUAGCAAUUUUAUUCCUAAAAGAGGCAAAGGAUUUGCUUUCUCUAAUUUCCUUCAGAAUAGAAUUCCAAAGGUAGGCUCCGUCAUACAUGAAACUCUUUUUCAUGCUAUUUGUACGCGGUUUAGGUAAGCAAAGACUACUCGAAAUAUCCCGAAGAUUGUAGUUUGUCAUCUCACCUUUAUAUGUGAAAAGAUUAGUGAGUGAC
rnacentral:lncRNA from 1 species